AUUCUAUUUGUAUGUUUUCUUUGCAAACAGCUCGCCAAGCUUGAAAAACAGCAGCAAAGAAAAGAGAAGACCAGAACCAAGGUACCUUCUGAAUCAAGUAGAGAAAGAAAUGCCCCUCGUAGUAAGGAUGACCCCAGUGCAAGCAGCGGAGCAGAGGGAGACGUGUCAUCUGAAAGGGAACCUUAGUUCAUCAAAAGUGGGUCUCAGUUUGCUGUACAAAGGCUACGUUGGACCCCUAAGAAUGCACAAAAGAUCUCAAUUCCAUUAACCUCAGAGCCACUCAAAGGACUUCGGGAAAGAACAAAAAACAGGAAAAUAGAAUCAACAUCAUUCUGUAUUAAAAAUAACCAAAGGAAUGUUACCAGUUUCAAUCGUUAAUAUGUAGUAGCAGUAGUGAAAAUGAUUCAUGGCAUUUUUGUUGUCUCUGUGUUUUCACAUGAUUACUGAAUUGGAGGGAAAUUUGCCUUUAUGCAGAUCACAGCAGAACACCUGAUAACAAAACAUAGGAUUCAUCUCCAAAAAUAAAUCAGGGUUUUCCUUAAAUUGACACUUGAAUUCUGGAGCUUGUAUUUCGAUUCUGUCAUGUGCUACCUGUUUCCGUAAAUCUGCGUAUACUACUGUAUAUUGUUCAAUACCCACCUAACACCAGGCUGGGGAGUACUGUUUUUGUGCAUGUGUUUAAGUUAUUUAAAAAAAAAAGUCAUUGAUAAAUUAUCAUGUGAAAUACAUGCAUCUUGUAAACUUUUUUAAAAAAACAAAAUACUUUAUUAAACAAACAAUGCUACCUUU